UCAGCUUGGUGCAUCUACAUCUGUGCUAGA
rnacentral:piRNA from 1 species